GGAGUGGUAGCUCGGUGGUUAAAGUGUUGGACUACUGAUUGGAAGGUUGCGAGUUCAAAUGUCAAGCCUGCCA